AGUACAGACGAGUUUGAUCCUGGCUCAGAACGAACGCUGGCGGCAUGCCUAACACAUGCAAGUCGAACGAGACCCCUGACUUCGGUUGGCGGGUCUAGUGGCGCACGGGUGCGUAACGCGUGGGAAUCUGCCCUUGGGUUCGGAAUAACUCAGAGAAAUUUGAGCUAAUACCGGAUGAUGACGAAAGUCCAAAGAUUUAUCGCCCAGGGAUGAGCCCGCGUAAGAUUAGCUUGUUGGUGGGGUAAUGGCCUACCAAGGCGACGAUCUUUAGCUGGUCUGAGAGGAUGAUCAGCCAUACUGGGACUGAGACACGGCCCAGACUCCUACGGGAGGCAGCAGUGGGGAAUAUUGGACAAUGGGCGCAAGCCUGAUCCAGCAAUGCCGCGUGAGUGAUGAAGGCCUUAGGGUUGUAAAGCUCUUUUACCAGGGAUGAUAAUGACAGUACCUGGAGAAUAAGCUCCGGCUAACUCCGUG
rnacentral:rRNA from 1 species